AAAUUCUAUUAGCUAAUAUUUUGUUAAGGAUGUUUGCAGCUAUAUUCAUGAGGGAUAUUGGUCCACAGUUUUCGUUUUUGUGUUGUGUAUUGUUAUUGUCUGGUUUUGGUAUUAGGAUAAUAGUAGUUUUAUAAAAUGAAUUUGUAAACAUCCCCUCUUCUUCUAUUUUUUGGCAAAGAUUAUGUAGAAUUGGUGUUAAUUCUUCUUCAAAUAUUUCAUAAAAUUUCCCACUGAAAUCAUCAGGGCCUGGACAUUUCUUUUUUGGGAGUUUUUAAAUUAUGAGUCUGAUUUUCUUGAAAAUGUCAGAGAUAUUCAAAUUAUCUAUUUUAUUUGGAGUGAGUUACAGUAGUUUGUGUUUUUUGAGGAAUUGUUCUAGUUUUCCUAAGUUUUCAAACUUAUGUGUGAAAACUGUUUAUAGUAUUUCCUCAUCCUUUUGACAGGUGCAGAAUCUGUAGUGAUAUCCCCCAUUUUAUUCCUGAUAUUGGUAAUUUGUGUCUUCUCUUUUUCUUCGUUAGUCUUGCUAGAAGUUUGUCAAAUUUACUGACCUUUACAAAAAACAAACAAACAAAAAAACCAGCUCUUUGUUUCAUUGAUUUUCUCUAUUGCUUUCUGUUUUCAAUUUCACAGAUUUCUGCUCUUUAUUAUUUCCUUCCUUCUGCUUGCUUUGGGUUUAUUUUGCUCUUUUUUUUUCCCCAGGCUCUUGAGGUGGGAACAUAGGUUACUAAUUUGAAACUUUUUCUCUUUUCUAAUGUAAGCAUUUCAUGCUAAAAUUUCUCCCCCAGCACUUCUUUAGCCGUGUCCUACAAAUUUUGAUAAAUUGUAUUUUCAAGAGUGGGGCAGCAGUGGGAGUUCCAGCUCUCCAUGGUGGGGUGGUCUCAUUACUACUGGGUAAUGGUGAAAAUCCUGACUCCAAUAGGCCUGCUUUGACACCAACCCAGUGGGAAGGGGUAUGUAGCCCCUUUGCUGCCUGGUGGAGGUUGAUGUCCAGACUCUCCAUGUGGUCUUCAGCGACACAGCAGGGGGCGUGCCUUGUUACCUACCACAGGAAUAAAUGUGACAGCCUCUUGAGGCAGGAAGGCUAGGCUCUGUCACGUGGCCUCCGCUGGCACAAGUGAGGGUGGGGACACAGUUUUUUCUGUGGUGUUUGGCUAUAGUAGGGUAAAUAUUGUCUUAAAGAUUUCUGUUUUGGUAGGUUGCCUCUUUCCUACUUCUUUGGCUAGAGAGAGCAGGCUUUUAUUGGGAUUGUUUGUUUGUUUGUUUGCUUUGUCGAUGCCAGUUAAUGUUUCUGGGUAGCCAGGUUUUGAAGCUCCAGGGCUGGGAUAUAUAAGCCAAAAACAAAACCCCGGGAAACUCACCAGUAUGUUGAUCCUCAGGUUCCUAGGUCCCUGGCCAGUCUGCUUUCCUCUCUCCCAGCGUCAGUCUUCUCUUAUGUUUGUUUUGUAUAUAAUAUUCAGGGUUUUCAGUUGUUCUUAGUGAGAAGAACAGGGAAAAGAAUAUCUACUCCAUCUUCCUGGAAGUGGGAAUUGUACUUUUACUUUUUACUUUGUAUAAUAAAUUAUUCUUUUUAAACGGUGGGAGUAUGAAUGGUAACUUUUAACAUUUUUCUUUUGUGUUUUUUACUGCCAAAUAUGCUAAACAAUGAAUCUAAGUGGUAAAGCUAUGUGGUCUUCCAGCUAUAAAAUGCAUAUUUACAUGAAAAAUCUCAGAUAACAGGAGGCAAAGAUUCUUGUUCAGAUUAUUUAUUUCAUGCAACUGAAAAUGUUUCUUCUUAUAGUCUCUCAUAAUCCACAUUUAAAGUAUUACAUAUAAGCUUUGCACAGUGGCAGUAUCAUAGCCAAUGAGGUUUAUCCGAGGCACAAUUAUUGCUAAUUGAAAACAUUUCCCAAUAUCCUGCCAUGAAGACUUGUAAUAUAGUUGGCAUUAGCAAUUUUUGACAGUCUCUACGGAGACUGAAUAUAAUAUUGUGUAUAUAUAUAUUACAUAUAGCCUUGUAAUAAUUAAAGACAUAGUAAAUACAGCUUCUUUAAACUUCUAUUCUCUCUUCUCUCUUAAUCAUACUCAAAUAAGAGUAAAGAGUUCAAAAAGUAAAAUAUUACAAGGAAAAAAUGGUAGUGGAGACAGAUGCAUAGAAAUUUUUUAAUGAAAGAAAGCAAUUGCAUAUAUGGUAACUGACUUAAGAAACCUGAGGAAGAGGAAAUCUAAACCAGGCAGUGAGGGAAUGCCAACAAAAAGCAAACCCUAGGACCCUGGAAAAGUUCAGAACUUGGAAGUACAUGGUAACUUUCAUGGAGGUGAGGGUGUGACCAAGAAUAGUAGAAUUGGUUGAAAGUCUAUAGGAAGCCACGUGACCUCCAUGUCUCCUCCUGUACCCUAGACAGCCAAAUGAUUUCUUUGCCCUCUAAGCUGUAUGAUGAGAAACUUAUUCUCUGGUGAAGUUGAACCAGAGAGACAGUCUCUGAAUUUGAGCCUUCCACUUUCAGUUGAUGCAUGGUUGAGUGUUCACAUAUUGAAUGGUGAAAUUUCACAGCCAUUUUCUUUUAUUGGGCCCUCAAAACACUAGCAGCCUGGCAUUUCACUCCCAGAGAAUUCCUAUUUUGGGAAACUGAUCACCCCAAGGAAAAUGACCUACAAGUACUGACAGGCAUAUGACUAAGAGUAGUCCCAGAAAGAGAAAACUAAAUUUAAAAGAUUAUUUUUCAGAAAUUGAAGACAAUUUCCUACAUCUAAAGAAUAUCUUUCCACAUUAAGAGGACCUGUCAAAUACCCAUUUAAUAGAUGGGAAAAUGCAUAAUUUCUGAAAUUUCAUAUCACUAGGACAAAGAGAAUACCCUAAAGCUUUCAGUACAGAAAACAAUACAAGUCAAAUAUACAGCAUCAGAAAUUAGAAUGUCACUGGUCUCUCAACAGCAGCUUUAAGGCUCAAACAUAGUAAGCAGCGGCCAGGUGUGGUGGCUCACGCCUGUAAUCCCAGCACUUUGGGAGGCUGAGGCAGGCAGAUCACAAGGUCAGGAGAUCAAGACCAUCCUGGCUAACAUGGUGAAACCCGUCUCUACUAAAAAAUAUACAAAAAAAAUUAGCCGAGCGUGGUGGCGGGCACCUGUAGUCACAGCUACUUGAGAGGCUGAGGCAGGAGAAUGAUGUGAACCCAGGAGGCAGAGCUUGCAGUGAGCCAAGAUUGCGCCACUGCACUCCAGCCUAGGCAACAGAGCCAUACUCCAUCUCAAAAAAAAAAAAAAAAAUUGUAAGCAGCUUUCACAGUACUGAGGAAAAAUUAUUUCAAACCCAGCAUUCUAUACCUCGCCAAAUUAUCAAGUAAAUGCAAUGAUAGAAUAAGAAAUUCUCAAACUUGUGAGGUCUCAAAAGAUUUAAUUAUCAUUUACUUUUUCCAAGAAGAUACUACAGGAAGUGGUCCCGCCAAUACCAGCAAGCCAAUAAACUGUAAGGAAAAGCAAACAGAAUACUCAGUAUGAAAGUGAAGGAAGAUCCCAGGAUAAGAACUGUACAACAGGAAGACUGGGCGCAGUGGCUCAUGCCUGUAAUAUCAACACUUUGGGGGGCUGAGGAGAGCAGAUCACAAGGUCAGGAGUUUGAGACCAGCCUGGGCAACAUGAUGAAACCCCAUCUCUACUAAAAAUACAAAACUUACCGGAUGUGGUGGCAGGCGCCUGUAAUGCCAGCUACUUGGGAGGCUGAGGCAGGAGAUUUGCUUGAACCCAGGAGGCAGAGGUUGUAGUGAGCCGAGAUUGUGCCACUGCACUCCAGCCUGGGUGACAGAGUAAGACUCUGUCUUGAAAAAAGAAAACUAUACAGCAGGCUGGUUGAGAGAGCAACCAGUCCAGAUUGAAGUAAGAGAGAGCACCAGGAGUGCUGACAGAGAGAGAAAGAGAAGGAAAAAAAGAAGAAAAGAGAGAAAGAGAAAGAAAGAAAGAGAGAAAGAGAGAAAAGGAAGGAGGGAAGGAGAGGAGAAAAGAGAAGGAAAUAUAGCAAUUGUUAUAUCACUUUAUGGUGUGACACUUCUAGCAGAGAGGUUUAGGAUUAAUGAUAUAAAACUAAGCAAAGAGAGACAGUUAUGAAUUCCAAGGAAAACCAAAAGUUGCUCAAUGCAGGAAAUGGAAUCAUAAUCCCCUUCUAUGGCUUAAUUACAAGUAACUUUCACAUACUCCUAGUAUUAUAAACACUGAAUAUUAUCUUACCAAGAAUUAUGGUAAAAUCACAAUAAUGUGUUAGGAAAGGGGAAAUGGAAGGAGGGUAUGUAACUAUAGGUAAGCUAAAUCCUCACCUCCCAUAGUAAAAAGUCAAUAGCUAAUAUUAAACACCUUUGUUUAAAAAUCAAGAAAUAACAGUGUAUAUUAGUCCAUUUUCACACUGCUAAUAAAGACAUACUGGAAACUGAGCAAUUUAUAAAAGAGGUUUAUUGGACUUAUACAGUUCCACGUGGCUGAGGAGGCCUCACAAUCAUGGAGGCAGGCAAGGAGGAGCAAGUCACAUCUUACAAGGAUGGCAGCAGGCAAAGACAGAGAGCUUGUGUAGGAAAACUCCCAUUUUUAAAACCAUCAGAUCUCGUGAGACCCAUUCACUAUUAAGAGAACAGCAUGGGAAAGACCCACCUCUAUAACUCAAUUACCUCCCACCAGGUUCCUCCCACAACACGUGGAAAUUAUGGGAGUUACAAUUCAAGAUGAGAUUUGGGUGGGGACACAGCCAAACAUAUCAUUCUGCCCCAGGCCCCCCACAAAUCUCACGUGCUUUUUACAUUUCAAAACCAAUCAUGCCGUCCUAAUAGUCCCUCAAAGUCUCAACUCAUUUCAGCAUUAAC
rnacentral:lncRNA from 10 species